CACAAGCAGCGGAGCGUGUGGUUUAAUCGAUGUUACACGAAGAACCUUACCAGGGUUUGACAUGCAAGUGGUAGGAAGCCGAAAGGUGACCGACCCUUCGGGGAGCUUGCACAGGUGCUGCAUGGCUGUCGUCAGCUCGUGUCGUGAGAUGUUCGGUUAAGUCCGCUAACGAGCGCAACCCUCGCUGUGUGUUAUAUGUGUCACACGGGACUGCCGGUCUUAAGCCGGAGGAAGGUGGGGAUGAUGUCAAGUCAGCAUGGCCUUUAUAUCCUGGGCUACACACACGCUACAAUGGCCAACACAAUAGGUUGCUAAGCCGCGAGGUGGCGCCAAUCCAUAAAGUUGGUCUCAGUUCAGAUUGUAGGCUGCAACCCGCCUGCAUGAAGAUGGAGUUGCUAGUAACCGCAGGUCAGCAAUACUGCGGUGAAUACGUUCCCGGGUCUU
rnacentral:rRNA from 1 species